AUGAAGAGUGCAAGCUCUGCAAUGCUUUAUCCUGGCCAGCCAAGCAUCCAGGAGGAGUAUAAGUUAUCUGCAUGGCUGAUUAAAUGGAAAUUCUGCAGUCCAGGUGAGGGAUCUCUGAGUGUCCUCAACAAGAAGCACAGUACCCAAUGACCUGUGAUGGCCACGGCUACUGGACCCAUGAUGGAAACGUAUUACCUUUCACUUCAAAACAAUACAAUGGUACAGAAUAA
rnacentral:lncRNA from 1 species